UCGAUGGCAGAUGAUCGCUGGUGAGCCACGAGGCUCGCUGGAGGAAAGUCCGAACACCAUACGGCGACAUGCCGCGUAAAAUACGCGGGCGCUGCAAUUGUAAGAUUGCGGUGACGGAAAGUGUCACAGAAAAGACACCGCCGGUUCUUUGGCAACAAAGUGCAGGCAAGGGUGAAAAGGCGAGGUAAGAGCUCACCGCUCGCGAAGCAAUUCGCGAGGCACGAAAAACCCCAUGCGGUGCAAGACAAAACAGAGGGAGGGCAGCCGGCCCGUUGAUCCUCGGGUAUCGUCGCAUCACGCUGCGCGCAAGCGCAGCGGGCAUUCGGAGAAAUCCGGGUGAGAUAAAUGAUCAUCCGGUCGCCACGGCGACCCGACAGAAUUCGGCUUACCGCCAUCAAAUAU
rnacentral:RNase_P_RNA from 1 species